rnacentral:rRNA from 1 species
CGUGUCCUGUUGUGGGGGAGUAACUGAUCGAAAGAUCAGCUAAUACCGCAUGAGACCUGAGGGUGAAAGCGGGGGAGUCGCAAGACCUCGCGCGACAGGAGUGGCCGAUGUCUGAUUAGCUAGUUGGUGAGAUAAAAGCUUACCAAGGCGACGAUCAGUAGCUGGUCUGAGAGGAUGAUCAGCCACAUUGGGACUGAGACACGGCCCAGACUCCUACGGGAGGCAGCAUG